CGCUCUUUUCCUAAUGUCCCUCUGAAGAAUUUUAUGGUUUAAAAAGGGAGAUCACUUACCUAUAUAAAAAGGAAAUCAACAAGGAUGAGGGAAACCACUAAUAAGGAACACAACAAAAACAAAUACAACUAAUUGUUGCAUGUGAAUAACAUAGCCACCAUGAAAGAGAAAAAAACCAAGACAAAACCAAGACUCAAGUAUCUUUUGUGUGCAGUAUUUUGACUAUAUAGACUCAAAUCAAAGUGCAAAAGCCAGUAGACAGAUAUUGGACCAUGAAUAGGUUGUUGUUACACAGUGGUUAUGGAUCAGCAAUUCAAAAACUACUUUUCGUAUAUUCCAAGAUUGAGAAAAUCUUAUUGUGUAAAUAUACUGAGGAUAAUCGGGACCAUAUUUUUGUUUUAAAAAAAAGGGGGUGUUGGGGGCUACAAGUAUGGAGAAAGGGAAGGCUAGAUUUAACCCUGUGGUACUGGACUGGAAUUGGUGGCACUGGAAUGAAUUCAUGGUUUUAAAUACAUUGAUGGCUAUGGAAAUUGAUACAAGAUGGUGUGUUUACAUAGAUACACACACAUUUAUUUCCUAGUUCCCUGCUGAGAGGGCCCAGAAGAGUGACACCCUCAUGACAGUGAGCACACCUAACACCCAGAUCUUGUUUUCUAAAAACUAUUCUCCACAGAAAGGCACCCGGCUUCUAGGAAAAGAACUUACUCCACAGCUGGGCCUUUACUGUGGGGAAGCCUGGCAGUCACAGUCUUAACCAAGUGAUAAAGAUCACAUCACCUGAAGGGACCACAAAACCCAUCAUGGACCUCCUGAUACGACAUACCAAGGGCACAUCUCUUCCAUGGUUCCUGGCAAAAUCAUCA
rnacentral:lncRNA from 1 species